ACUCACAAAACUCAUCUUCUUUCUCUCUGCAUCUUCAGUUUCUGUAAGUCACAGAUUCAUUGUCACCAUCCUCUCUGUCGCUCAGUAUCCUUCUCCUUACAGAUAAUGGAGGUCGUGAGACAACAACAGAGGAGGAGCAUCCCAUCUACUCUAUUCUCUCUCUCUCUGAACCGUGAUGCCUCCUCUCUGUCCUGUGACGAAGUGACGCCUCCUCUCUGUUCUGGUUUCAGAGAAAGACUAGAGCAAUAGCGUAAGCUUGGAGAAUCAGAACAGGGUGGGAGAAGACAGAGCAACGGCGCGGAGAAGACCGAGCAGCGGCGUCGGGGAAGACAGAGCAGGGGCGGCGUUGGGGUAGACAGAGAUGGUCGCGAGCAGAGAUGGUCGUGCGGCGGGUGAGGACUGGAAGAUGAAGAAGGCAACAAAGGUCAUGGCUUGAUAAGACGGCGAAGAUCAUGGAAGAACACGACAACGAAGGUGGUGGUGCGACGGGUGAGAGUUGGAAGAUGAAGAAACGACGAAGGUGGUGGUGUUGGGGUGGCGCUUAGUUAGUACUAAUUAGGUUAAAGCUUGGUUUAGUUAGUAAUUAGGUUAAAGUUUUUGGUUUAUUAUUUAAUUAGAUUUUUUUUUUAUUUUUGUAAUCCAAUUUUGCUACAGAUCAAUAUUAAUAAAGAAAUUUUAAAUAUCUGAAUUAAUUUUAAAUUUUAAUUAUGCUUUUAUUUUUAAAUUAUUAACUGAAAAAUAAUUCUAAAAUAAAUAAUUAACAAAAUAUAAUUUACAAUAUAUA